rnacentral:rRNA from 1 species
AGGAUGCUUCUGGCGCGGUGCCUUCCGAGUUCCCUGGAACGGGACGCCACAGAGGGUGAGAGCCCCGUAUGGUCGGACACCAAGCCUGUGUGAAGCUCCUUCGACSAGUCGAGUAGUUUGGGAAUGCUGCUCUAAAUGGGAGGUAAAUCUCUUCUAAAGCUAAAUACCGGCCAGAGACCGAUAGCGCACAAGUAGAGUGAUCGAAAGAUGAAAAGCACCUUGAAAAGGGGGUUAAAUAGUACGUGAAAUUGUUGAAAGGGAAGCACUUAUGACCAGACUUGGGCCGGGCGGCUCAUCAGGGGUUCUCCCCUGUGCACUCCGCCCGGCACAGGCCAGCAUCGGUUUUCGCGGGGGGAUAAGACCGACGGGAACGUAGCACCCUCCGGGGUGUGUUAUAGCCCGGCGGACGAUACCCUCGCGGGGACCGAGGACCGCGCUUCGGCAAGGAUGCUGGCGUAAUGGUCAUCAGUGACCCGUCUUGAAACACGGACCAAGGAGUCGUCCAUUAGAGCGAGCGUUUGGGUGUAAAACCCGCACGCGUAAUGAAAGUGAACGCAGGUGAGAGCUUCGGCGCAUCAUCGACCGAUCCUGAUGUUCUCGGAAGGAUUUGAGUAAGAGUUUUAACGGACGGACCCGAAAGACAGUGAACUAUGCUUGUAUAGGGUGAAKCCAGAGGAAACUCUGGUGGAGGCUC